AUCCAGCUGAUGAGUCACAAAUAGGACGAGACGUAAGUCUUGGAU
rnacentral:hammerhead_ribozyme from 1 species